GCUCUUCCAUCUGGCAUUUUGAUUCAGACAUUUAUCACAGAUGGGAGAGAUAUUUGGAUAGAUUUUAUUCAGUCUUGUUUUCGAGUAGUAUAAUCUAUGUAAAAUUUUAAAUUGAAUUAAAUUAUGUUUUGCAUUAAUCGAACAUUUAUGUAUGUAUAUCAGGUAUGUUUCCCAUGUUUCUUUCGAAA